AUAUGGGUGGGGCAUAGAGAUGUCACAUGGGGGGGGGGGAAGCCAAACUUUACUUUUGCCUAGGGCGGCAAAAAUCCUUGCACCGGCCCUGAGUGGUAUUUAAACUCCCCACAUGUAGAAUAUUCCUCUGACGAUAUCAUCAUAAAAUAUACUUAUAUAAUGUCCAGUGUAAGUGUCAGUGUAGAGAUAUAUCCAAAUGAAUAAUCUUUGUCUAAGGAUAUUUUCAC